UACGUAGGGGGCAAGCGUUGUCCGGAUUUAUUGGGCGUAAAGAGCGUGUAGGCGGUUUGGUAGGUCCGCUGUGAAAACUCGAGGCUCAACCUCGAGCUGUCGGCGGAAACCAUCUGGCUAGAGUCCGGAAGAGGAGAGUGGAAUUCCUGGUGUAGCGGUGAAAUGCGCAGAUAUCGGGAAGAACACCUAUGGCGAAGGCAGCUCUCUGGGACGGUACUGACGCUGAGACGCGAAAGCGUGGGGAGCGAACAGG
rnacentral:rRNA from 1 species